UGAGUUGACGUGGUCUAUGAGCGAUCAAGGAGGCUCAUGGCCUAGGUUGCUGACUUCCAUUGCAAUUUGAGGAAGGGCAACAGCCUAAGAUCUCCUCAACGGAAGAGUCUACGCCACAAUUUGUGGUAGUGGGGGCCUGCGUUCGCGCGACCUCUUC